CCAGACUCCUACGGGAGGCAGCAGUGAGGAAUAUUGGUCAAUGGCCGCAGGGCUGAACCAGCCAAGUCGCGUGAGGGAUGACGGUCCUAUGGAUUGUAAACCUCUUUUGUCAGGGAGCAAAGGGCGCCACGUGUGGCGUUUUGCGAGUACCUGAAGAAAAAGCAUCGGCUAACUCCGUGCCAGCAGCCGCGGUAAUACGGAGGAUGCGAGCGUUAUCCGGAUUUAUUGGGUUUAAAGGGUGCGCAGGCGGUCUGUUAAGUCGGCGGUCAAAGCCCGGGGCUCAACCCCGGUCCGCCGUUGAAACUGGCAGUCUCGAGUUGGAGAGAAGUAUGCGGAAUGCGCGGUGUAGCGGUGAAAUGCAUAGAUAUUGCGCAGAACUCCGAUUGCGAAGGCAGCAUACCGGCGGCGAUCUGGUGCUGAGGCACGAAAGCGUGGGUAUCGAACAGGAUUAGAUACCCCCGUAC
rnacentral:rRNA from 1 species